CAACGCGCGUGGAGGAUGAAGGCCUUCGGGUCGUAAACUCCUGUCGACCGGGAAGAAUGCACCUGACCUAAUCCGUCGGCGUGUUGACUGUACCGGUGGAGGAAGCCACGGCUAACUCUGUGCCAGCAGCCGCGGUAAUACAGAGGUGGCAAGCGUUGUUCGGAAUUACUGGGCGUAAAGGGCGCGUAGGCGGUUUGCCAAGUCCCGUGUGAAAGCCCCCGGCUCAACCGGGGAACGGCGCGGGAAAACUAGCAGGCUUGAGUUCGGGAGAGGGAAGCGGAAUUUCGGGUGUAGCGGUGAAAUGCGCAGAUAUCCGAAGGAACACCGGUGGCGAAGGCGGCUUCCUGGACCGACACUGACGCUGAGGCGCGAAAGCUAGGGGAGCAAACGGGAUUAGAUACCCCGGUAGUCCUAGCCCUAAACGAUGAGCACUGGGUGUAGAGGGUAUGAACCCCUUCUGUGCCGAAGCUAACGCAUUAAGUGCUCCGCCUGGGGAGUACGGUCGCAAGGCUG
rnacentral:rRNA from 1 species